AAAGUUCUGAUCUGUUGUAAUUGGAGAGGAAUAUUCUUAGAAAAGACAUUAACCUUCAAGGACUCAAAUAACUUAAUGGAUAUGUUAUGUAUCCUUUUCUUGUGAUGGAAAAAUUGCUGGUUGCAACAUAUAACAAAUACUUUGUCUUGUAAUGUGUUCUACUUGGAGUGGAUGCUGAGAAAAGGAAACCUCCAUCUUGCUAGCUUUUUAUACUGAAUUUGGCAGUAAUAGGUUGUGCUAGGUGGUCUUCACGUGCUGAGCAUGUAGACAUUUAGUAUAUGCACACUGGUUACCUCUUUCAAUCUUAAACUCAGUAGAACAGAGGUAAAGGGCUAAUUAUGGCUAAAAUAUAUUUAUUAGUCUAUUUAUAAGAAUUUACAUAAUUUCUUCUUGCUCCUGUUCCCAUCCUGACCCACUUUAUGUACAAAUUGAAACCAUUUCUUAAGAAAUACAAAGUUUAAGUUUGUUUUGCUUUUUCUUUUCCUUUGCAUAGAGAUAUUGGAAUUCUCUUGGAUAUUCCACAUUAGGAAUUUUGACUGGGUUUGCCACUAGCUUUUAUUCCUUUCUUUUAGAUUAGCAGUAUUGUGCCUUAUAGUAAAACACUUAAGAAAUCUGAAGCAUCUGAGAGUAAAUAUAAACCCUGGCAUCUCCUAUUAUGACCUCUUAUUCAAAUAUUUAUAUACUGUAAGUGGUAUAAGGAAUUGCUAAACUGUUUUGUAAAGAAAUACGUGUAUUUAAAACACUACUUAAAAGUGUUAAGUGAAUUGUUUAGGAUUUUAGCAUUGUCAUGUUACAAAUAAUAUGCUACAUUCCUUAAUUUUCUUUUGUAAAGCUGUUGCUACAGAUUGCUUAAAACGGUGUCUUUCACUAGACAUUUGUUUUAGAGUGCAUUUUGUUUUUAAAAUGUAUAUUUGGAAUGGUUUUAAGAAAAUAUGCAAUUCUUUUUCUAACUUAUAUUGAGCUUCAGUAGAAGCAAUAACUUUUUUUAAUUUUAAAAUGAAUGUUCCAGAAAUGACAGAGGGGGAAAUAUAAUCAGAACUUCUACUUUGCAGAGCAGAUGUUUCACCCUAAAUUUUCUUCAAAAAAAUUCCUGUUAAUGCCUACUUAAAAAAAAAAAAAAAAUCUGCCUCUUCCCUGUAGGAGUAUAACUUUUAUGUUUACUGGAAAACUGUCAGGUUGUAGUUCUGAUGUCACCAGCAGGUGCAAGUUUUUGUGAUGCCUUUAUCUUACAAGAAGCACAUGAGAAUGGAAUAUGACUGACUGACCAUCUCCAAAACUGAACAAAUAAAUAAACAACCCGCAACUAAACCAGACAAUGUGUAGGGACACUUAUGUCUCCAAAAGAAGCUUAUCAACAUUUCCAGAACUGCCUUUUUAACUUAUUUCUUCAAUAUUAAAAAUUAAGUCUUCUCCCUCUUCUUUAACACAAAACUGAACAUUGAUGCAGUAAAUGUUGAGAGGGUUUAAACUCUAGCUCGAGGAGGAACCAAAAGAGAAGUUAUCAAGAGAAGUGUUGUCAGUCUGUGGAUUGUGUCUUGCUGAUACCUACAGCACAGUAUUCAUUCUGGAGAGGAGAACUGUGGUGAUACAUGAAGAUUUGAGAAUUGGAAUUGAUUAAACAUGCACAAAUCAAGCUUGAAGGCUUUUGGUUUUGUUCAGUAUGGGUCCUGAUCUCUCCUCAGAUAUCCUGCUGUAUUGCAAAACUUGAUUUAAGAAAGUUUUUAAAAUAGAAUGCCUUUAUAAUUGCAUGUAUUUGUGUGAUGAGUGCAUUGCCUGGGACUGUCCAUUAUACUUCCACUGGACCUGAAGCUUCUUUUCACCAUCUGAAACAUGGUAAUGUUACUGCAUUUUUAAAUGAGCAUAUCCUUAAUUCAGAAGAGCAAAGUAAGUUUCCAUAAUUUUGUUAGUCUAAAGCUUAAGUCCAAAACUUUGAAGCCACUUCCGCUAUAAACAUAUACUUGGAGAGAACUAUUUGAAUUUGCUAGUCUGUCAAAAAUUAUUCACAAACAACUGUCUUUUAUUGUAACCUUGAACUAAUUCAGUUGCAUUGUUUGGAUUAAGCACUUGUGUCUUUUCCAUUGUGUAUGUACAGUUUUAAGAAUGUGAAGUUAUGCAUUGUUGUUGUAACUUAAUGAGUAAAAGUUCAAAUUCCAUAAUAAAUUAUAUGGACCUUUUAAAAAGCAACGUCUGAGAA